rnacentral:rRNA from 1 species
UACAGAGGGUGCAAGCGUUGUUCGGAAUUACUGGGCGUAAAGCGCGUGUAGGCGGUUGGUUAAGUCUUGUGUGAAAGCCCUGGGCUCAACCCAGGAAGUGCGCAAGAUACUGGCCGACUGGAGUAACGGAGAGGAUGGCGGAAUACCCGGUGUAGAGGUGAAAUUCGUAGAUAUCGGGUGGAACACCUGUGGCGAAGGCGGCCAUCUGGACGUUCACUGACGCUGAGACGCGAAAGCAUGGGGAGCAAACAGG